GGUGUUGUGUCUUAGAUGGUUAAAGUGCCUGUCUAGUAAACAGGAGAUCCUGGGUUCGAAUCCCAGCGGUGCUU
rnacentral:tRNA from 1 species